CUGCGGCCUAUCAGGUUGUUGGUGGGGUAACGGCCUACCAAGCCUAUGACGGGUAUCCGGCCUGAAAGGGUGAACGGACACACUGGAACUGAGACACGGUCCAGACUCCUACGGGAGGCAGCAGUGGGGAAUUUUGGACAAUGGGGGAAACCCUGAUCCAGCGACGCCGCGUGGAGGACGAAGGCCUUCGGGUUGUAAACUCCUUUUAGAGGGGAAGAAAAAAAUGACGGUACCCUCAGAAAAAGCCACGGCUAACUACGUGCCAGCAGCCGCGGUAAUACGUAGGUGGCGAGCGUUACUCGGAAUUACUAGGCGUAAAGCGUAUGUAGGCGGUUAGAUAAGUCUUUGGUGAAAUUUCCCGGCUCAACCGGGAAACUGCCAAGGAUACUGUUUGACUUGAGUGUGGGAGGGGGAGAUGGAAUUCCUGGUGUAGCGGUGAAAUGCGUAGAUAUCAGGAGGAACACCGAUGGCGAAAGCAGUCUCCUGGCCCAAUACUGACGCUAAUGUACGAAAGCUAGGGUAGCAAACAGGAUUAGAUACCCUGGUAGUCCUAGCUGUAAACGAUGUUCACUAGAUGUGGGAGGUAUCGACCCCUUCCGCGUCGACGCUAACGCAUUAAGUGAACCGCCUGGGGAGUACGGCCGCAAGGUUGAAACUCAAAGGAAUUGACGGGGGCCCGCACAAGCGGUGGAGUAUGUGGUUUAAUUCGACGCAACGCGAAAAACCUUACCUGGGCUUGAACUUUUAGUGGUAAAAACCGGAAACGGCGAUGACCCGCAAGGGAGCUAAGAGAGGUGCUGCAUGGCUGUCGUCAGCUCGUGUCGUGAGAUGUUGGGUUAAGUCCCGCAACGAGCGCAACCCUUACCCCAUGUUACCUGUAGCAAUACAGGGUCUCUGAGGGAACUGCCAUUGAUAAAAUGGAGGAAGGUGGGGACGACGUCAAGUCAUCAUGGCCUUUAUGUCCAGGGCUACACACGUACUACAAUGGUCGGUACAGAGGGCAGCGAUAUCGCAAGGUGGAGCAAAUCCCUAAAAGCCGGCCUCAGUUCAGAUUGUGGGCUGCAAUUCGCCCACAUGAAGUAGGAAUCGCUAGUAAUCGCAGAUCAGCA
rnacentral:rRNA from 1 species